UUCCUACGGGGGGUAGCAGUAGGGAAUCUUCCACAAUGGACGAAAGUCUGAUGGAGCAACGCCGCGUGAGUGAAGAAGGGUUUCGGCUCGUAAAGCUCUGUUGGUAGUGAAGAAAGAUAGAGGUAGUAACUGGCCUUUAUUUGACGGUAAUUACUUAGAAAGUCACGGCUAACUACGUGCCGGCAGCCGCGGUAAUACGUAGGUGGCAAGCGUUUUCCGGAUUUAUUGGGCGUAAAGCGAGUGCAGGCGG
rnacentral:rRNA from 1 species